rnacentral:miRNA from 1 species
UUUCCUGGUUCAGUCCCUGGAAGCUGGGAGAAGCUGGGAGCAUAGACCCGGCCGUGUAGUAUGAGCAGCACCUUGGGAGGCUGAGGCAGGAGGAU